CGGUUACAGAGAGAAGCGAUACCGCGAGGAGGAGCAAAUCUGAAAAAAGCGUCCCUAGUUCGGAUUGUAGGCUGAAACUCGCCUACAUGAAGCUGGAAUUGCUAGUAAUCACAGGUCAGCAUACUGUGGUGAAUACGUUCCCGGGCCUUGUACACACCGCCCGUCACACCAUGAGAGUCGAUAACACCCGAAGCCUGUAGUCUAACCCUAGGGGGGACGCAGUCGAAGGUGGGAUUGAUAAUUAGGGUGAAGUCGUAACAAGGUACC
rnacentral:rRNA from 1 species